CCUACCUCUAGAGGCAUCUCGGAUGUGACUGCUGUAUCACACAUGCGUCACUAGGUGGUAGAGAGGACAGAGGCUGUGUCUACUCUCUCUCAGUGUCCUGGCCUAUGAACGGCUGAAUGAUUAGCAGUCUAACAUU
ensembl:snoRNA